rnacentral:rRNA from 1 species
CCUACGGGAGGCAGCAGUAGGGAAUUUACGGCAAUGGGCGAAAGCCUGACCGAGCAACGCCGCGUGAACGAAGAAGUAUCUCGGUAUGUAAAGUUCUUUUAUUAGGGAAGAAAAAUAUCCAAAUUGACGGUACCUAAUGAAUAAGCUCCGGCUAACUACGUGCCAGCCGCCGCGGUAAU